CUGUGGAGCUCUGCCGUUCUGCCCUGCUGAAUUUGGGGAAAACAAGGCUGUACGCUUCUCCAUCGUGAGGCCAUGGCUGCUGCUCCCUCCUCUCCUCAUGGUCAGGCCAGCCCUUGUGGCCCACGGCCACAGUGCCCACCCAGGCAGGAGACCCCAGAGCAGAGUAAGGAAACCCAAUGUGCCUUUGAGAGAACCGUUUAGAAACUGCCCUCAACUGUCUUUAAAGCUGGAGAAGACCCUGAAGGUCACCCAAGGUGCUCACUGUGGGGACGAGGAGAGUGGAUCUGGGGAGGGGAGAGGCCGGCUCGGGGCUGCAUCAGGGGCCCCCAUUUAAUCCACGUGCAUGGAGCAGUUCCUGAGGAUGCUGGGGGCAGGACCACCAUCAACAGGAGCGAGCAGCUGGAGGGACGGGAGGCAGCAUUGGGGACCACACGUCCCCCAUCUGUUACAGACCCACGGGUGCUUCCAGCCCCCAAAGGACGCUGUCCUUGAUCUCUUUUUUGUUCUUCAUUUAGAUGAUGCCAGAGCCUUGAAACAAUCGCUGGCUCCACUGUUUCCUUUCACACUGAAAUUGCUCAUCCCCAGCAUGAAGUUUAUGCUUCAUUAUGUGUUUCUCUGCAGUGCAAAUUUCACAUCAGGACGUGCCAUCAGAGGUGGGAUCGGUGAGGAGCCCACGGCCGGGGAGGACCGAUGUGAGUGCGUGCCAAGGGCCGCCGGCUGCUGACCCCCCUGCUUUGGAGAAGCUCAGGGCGCCAUGCCCGCUUCGAGGGGUGGCUCCUUGUGCACCUGGACCUGAGGCCGGGGAUCCCACCCUCAGAGGGCCUGCCUCCCUCCAGGUGCCUGGUUCUGGGGUCCCUCCCUCUCUGGGUGCAGGUGGGGGAUGGAGAAGGGAGAGGAGGCAGGAAGGAGAGCCAGAGGUGAGGAGCGCCGAGCGGCGGCCAUGAGGGCAGAGCCUGGGGUGCUGGCCAUGCCCACCCUGGUUUCCUUCCUUCCUCGCUUCCACCUGCACCUUUCCGGUGAUACCUCCCGAGCAUCACAGCAACCUUGAAUAACACACCUGCUGAGGUGCUUUUAAGGAAAAGCACCUGCCGCUUCUGAGCACACCCACACACCUCACCCCACGUCCGAGCCCACAGCCUGGGAAGGGCUGCCCCGCCUUCACUUUCCUGCAGAGCUGGCCCGCCUCCUGCUCUGCACCCCACAGCACCCAGCACCUCUUUUUGACCGAUUACCAUGUCUGCGCCCACGGGAGAGGCAGGCGUGCGAUAUUUAGGAGCCGGACUGCCAGCUUCAAAUCCUCUGUGAUCUCAGCAAGCCCUGGCACCCACCUCGUUGUACCAUUAACUUCUGACAGCCAGGCGAGGUCCACUGGCUCCUCGUGGGUGUCUGAGCGGGAGGAAGUCUGUGGACGUUUCCGAGCUGAAGUCUCCUCAAGGGUUUGUCCUCACGUGGAGCCCCAGGAGAGGAUGGUCCUGUGUCAUCUGGAAUUCAGCAACAUUCGGAAGACAGAACCAGAGCCAGGACAAGCGUUCCUGAGAAAACAACCCCGGUCCUACUUGUCUUGCAGGACCAGCUCACGUGCGUGUCUUCUGUGAAGACUUCGUGAGCUCUUUGGCCAAAAGUGAUGGUUCUAUUCCCUAUUCGUUAAAAAGAAC
ensembl:lncRNA